rnacentral:rRNA from 1 species
GAUGAACGCUGGCGGCGUGCCUAAUACAUGCAAGUCGAGCGAACGGACGAGAAGCUUGCUUCUCUGAUGUUAGCGGCGGACGGGUGAGUAACACGUGGAUAACCUACCUAUAAGACUGGGAUAACUUCGGGAAACCGGAGCUAAUACCGGAUAAUAUUUUGAACCGCAUGGUUCAAAAGUGAAAGACGGUCUUGCUGUCACUUAUAGAUGGAUCCGCGCUGCAUUAACUAGUUGGUAAGGUAACGGCUUACCAAGGCAACGAUGCAUAGCCGACCUGAGAGGGUGAUCAGCCACACUGGAACUGAGACACGGUCCAGACUCCUACGGGAGGCAGCAGUAGGGAAUCUUCCGCAAUGGGCGAAAGCCUGACGGAGCAACGCCGCGUGAGUGAUGAAGGUCUUCGGAUCGUAAAACUCUGUUAUUAGGGAAGAACAUAUGUGUAAGUAACUGUGCACAUCUUGACGGUACCUAAUCGGAAAGCCACGGCUAACUACGUG